UGCUUUCAUAGCUCAGAUGGUUAGAGCACCCGUUUAGUAAGCGGGAGGUCUUGAGUUCGACUCU
rnacentral:tRNA from 1 species